ensembl:lncRNA
CUGAUGUGUCUGAUCGCUAACGGAGAGGGAAAGUCGACACGGCAAGACAUUAUUCCCUCAAAAAAACAACCAAAACUGCGCGAAAAUAGUGAAAAGGGUUGAAGGGUUGAAGUGUUCGCUGCUCUAACCGGUAGUUCACUUCUUCAGAAAAUGGAAUGCAUUUCAAAAGAGUUUCAACUUGAUUCGAUCUGAUUUUUUUAGCCGAUUAGCUGAAACGGGUCUGAGCGGACUGAGCCGAGUCAACCUCUCUCCAACACCUAUUGAUUUCUGCAAGAGAAACACAUCUGUGUUGUGGAUAAGGAAACAAUGUGACCAGUGCCCCGGGGAAUGGAGGCAGAAGGGAGUGUGCAGUGGGAGAGAGGACAGAGGAGCCUGGGAAGAUCUCCCCCAAAUAAUGAGCGGAAUACAACAAAUGGCAAAUUUGCUGAACAAACCUUUAUUCAACUGCUGAACCAGACACCCUCUGGAACGUUCCGGAAAGCUUUCUAUCUUUUAUCCUAAUGUGACUGAGCAAUCAAGGUGUUUGCCUCGGUGCACCUCUGUUUAAAUUGCCUUAUUCCCAUGUAGCAGACAUACAUACAUAAGCACCUUGGAAAAGAACGUCUCUACAGCAGAGUUGGAGGUAAAGAUUAUAUCAGCACUAAAUUGGAAUAUUUCAGCUGUAAAUCUGUUCGUAUUAACUAGGUUUUUAUUGUAUUCUGUUAAUUUGAG